AUAAAGCGGGUGAAAAGCCCGCUCGCCGGAAGACCAAGGGUUCCUGUCCAACGUUAAUCGGGGCAGGGUGAGUCGACCCCUAAGGCGAGGCCGAAAGGCGUAGUCGAUGGGAAACGGGUUAAUAUUCCCGUACUUGGUGUUACUGCGAAGGGGGGACGGAGAAGGCUAUGUUGGCCGGGCGACGGUUGUCCCGGUUUAAGCGUGUAGGUGUGUGUUCCAGGUAAAUCCGGUUCACUUUAACACUGAGGCGUGACGACGAGGCACUACGGUGCUGAAGCAACAAAUGCCCUGCUUCCAGGAAAAGCCUCUAAGCAUCAGGUAACAC
rnacentral:rRNA from 1 species